UACAGAGGUGGCAAGCGUUGUUCGGAAUUACUGGGCGUAAAGGGCGCGUAGGCGGCUUUCUAAGUCGGGGGUGAAAUCCUGGAGCUCAACUCCAGAACUGCCUUCGAUACUGGAGAGCUCGAGUCCGGGAGAGGUGAGUGGAACUGCGAGUGUAGAGGUGAAAUUCGUAGAUAUUCGCAAGAACACCAGUGGCGAAGGCGGCUCACUGGCCCGGUACUGACGCUGAGGUGCGAAAGCGUGGGGAGCAAACAGG
rnacentral:rRNA from 1 species